AUUUCUGUAGUUGAGGUACAACAGUAGUUUUUCAGGCUACAGGUCUUGGAGAUAAGCCAAGCAGAAAUU
rnacentral:tRNA from 1 species